rnacentral:tRNA from 1 species
UGGCCGAGUGGCGGAAUGGCAGACGCACGGGACUUAAAAUCCCGGGACCCGAACGGGUCGUGUGGGUUCGAGUCCCACCUCGGCUAA